UGUGUGUUAGUGGAAGCGUCUGGAAAGGCGCGCGAUACAGGGUGACAGCCCCGUACACAAAAAUGCACAUGCUGUGAGCUCGAUGAGUAGGGCGGGACACGUGGUAUCCUGUCUGAAUAUGGGGGGACCAUCCUCCAAGGCUAAAUACUCCUGACUGACCGAUAGUGAACCAGUACCGUGAGGGAAAGGCGAAAAGAACCCCGGCGAGGGGAGUGAAAAAGAACCUGAAACCGUGUACGUACAAGCAGUGGGAGCACGCUUAGGCGUGUGACUGCGUACCUUUUGUAUAAUGGGUCAGCGACUUAUAUUCUGUAGCAAGGUUAACCGAAUAGGGGAGCCGAAGGGAAACCGAGUCUUAACUGGGCGUUAAGUUGCAGGGUAUAGACCCGAAACCCGGUGAUCUAGCCAUGGGCAGGUUGAAGGUUGGGUAACACUAACUGGAGGACCGAACCGACUAAUGUUGAAAAAUUAGCGGAUGACUUGUGGCUGGGGGUGAAAGGCCAAUCAAACCGGGAGAUAGCUGGUUCUCCCCGAAAGCUAUUUAGGUAGCGCCUCGUGAAUUCAUCUCCGGGGGUAGAGCACUGUUUCGGCAAGGGGGUCAUCCCGACUUACCAACCCGAUGCAAACUGCGAAUACCGGAGAAUGUUAUCACGGGAGACACACGGCGGGUGCUAACGUCCGUCGUGAAGAGGGAAACAACCCAGACCGCCAGCUAAGGUCCCAAAGUCAUGGUUAAGUGGGAAACGAUGUGGGAAGGCCCAGACAGCCAGGAUGUUGGCUUAGAAGCAGCCAUCAUUUAAAGAAAGCGUAAUAGCUCACUGGUCGAGUCGGCCUGCGCGGAAGAUGUAACGGGGCUAAACCAUGCACCGAAGCUGCGGCAGCGACGCUGAUGCGUUGUUGGGUAGGGGAGCGUUCUGUAAGCCUGCGAAGGUGUGCUGUGAGGCAUGCUGGAGGUAUCAGAAGUGCGAAUGCUGACAUAAGUAACGAUAAAGCGGGUGAAAAGCCCGCUCGCCGGAAGACCAAGGGUUCCUGUCCAACGUUAAUCGGGGCAGGGUGAGUCGACCCCUAAGGCGAGGCCGAAAGGCGUAGUCGAUGGGAAACAGGUUAAUAUUCCUGUACUUGGUGUUACUGCGAAGGGGGGACGGAGAAGGCUAUGUUGGCCGGGCGACGGUUGUCCCGGUUUAAGCGUGUAGGCUGGUUUUCCAGGCAAAUCCGGAAAAUCAAGGCUGAGGCGUGAUGACGAGGCACUACGGUGCUGAAGCAACAAAUGCCCUGCUUCCAGGAAAAGCCUCUAAGCAUCAGGUAACAUCAAAUCGUACCCCAAACCGACACAGGUGGUCAGGUAGAGAAUACCAAGGCGCUUGAGAGAACUCGGGUGAAGGAACUAGGCAAAAUGGUGCCGUAACUUCGGGAGAAGGCACGCUGAUAUGUAGGUGAAGUCCCUCGCGGAUGGAGCUGAAAUCAGUCGAAGAUACCAGCUGGCUGCAACUGUUUAUUAAAAACACAGCACUGUGCAAACACGAAAGUGGACGUAUACGGUGUGACGCCUGCCCGGUGCCGGAAGGUUAAUUGAUGGGGUUAGCCGCAAGGCGAAGCUCUUGAUCGAAGCCCCGGUAAACGGCGGCCGUAACUAUAACGGUCCUAAGGUAGCGAAAUUCCUUGUCGGGUAAGUUCCGACCUGCACGAAUGGCGUAAUGAUGGCCAGGCUGUCUCCACCCGAGACUCAGUGAAAUUGAACUCGCUGUGAAGAUGCAGUGUACCCGCGGCAAGACGGAAAGACCCCGUGAACCUUUACUAUAGCUUGACACUGAACAUUGAGCCUUGAUGUGUAGGAUAGGUGGGAGGCUUUGAAGUGUGGACGCCAGUCUGCAUGGAGCCGACCUUGAAAUACCACCCUUUAAUGUUUGAUGUUCUAACGUUGACCCGUAAUCCGGGUUGCGGACAGUGUCUGGUGGGUAGUUUGACUGGGGCGGUCUCCUCCUAAAGAGUAACGGAGGAGCACGAAGGUUGGCUAAUCCUGGUCGGACAUCAGGAGGUUAGUGCAAUGGCAUAAGCCAGCUUGACUGCGAGCGUGACGGCGCGAGCAGGUGCGAAAGCAGGUCAUAGUGAUCCGGUGGUUCUGAAUGGAAGGGCCAUCGCUCAACGGAUAAAAGGUACUCCGGGGAUAACAGGCUGAUACCGCCCAAGAGUUCAUAUCGACGGCGGUGUUUGGCACCUCGAUGUCGGCUCAUCACAUCCUGGGGCUGAAGUAGGUCCCAAGGGUAUGGCUGUUCGCCAUUUAAAGUGGUACGCGAGCUGGGUUUAGAACGUCGUGAGACAGUUCGGUCCCUAUCUGCCGUGGGCGCUGGAGAACUGAGGGGGGCUGCUCCUAGUACGAGAGGACCGGAGUGGACGCAUCACUGGUGUUCGGGUUGUCAUGCCAAUGGCACUGCCCGGUAGCUAAAUGCGGAAGAGAUAAGUGCUGAAAGCAUCUAAGCACGAAACUUGCC
rnacentral:rRNA from 1 species